AUACGUAGGUGGCGAGCGUUGUCCGGAUUUACUGGGUGUAAAGGGCGCGUAGGCGGGGAAGCAAGUCAGAUGUGAAAUCCAUGGGCUUAACCCAUGAACUGCAUUUGAAACUGUUUCUCUUGAGUGUCGGAGAGGUAGAUGGAAUUCCUAGUGUAGCGGUGAAGUGCGUAGAUAUUAGGGGGAACACCAGUGGCGAAGGCGGUCUCCUGGACAAUAACUGACCAUGAGGCGCGAAAGCGGGGGGAGCAAACAGGAUUAGAUACCCGGGUAGUCCACGCCGUAAACGAUGAAUACUAGGUGUGGGGGAACUGACCCCCUCCGUGCCGCAGUUAACACAAUAAGUAUUCCACCUGGGGAGUACGGCCGCAAGGUUGAAACUCAAAUGAAUUGGCGGGG
rnacentral:rRNA from 1 species